rnacentral:rRNA from 1 species
GGGUCAGUAGGCUGGUCGUGCCACCGGUACGUACUGGUCUCACCGAUUCCUCCUUCCUGAAGAACCGUAAUGCCAUUAAUUUGGUGUUGCGGGGAAACAGGACUGUUACUUUGAAAAAAUUAGAGUGUAUAAAGCAAGCUAGCGCUUGAAUACAUUAGCAUGGAAUAAUGAAAUAGGACGAUCGAUCCUAUUUUGUUGGUUUCUAGGAUUGACGUA